GGAUGUGAGGGCAAUCUGGCUGUGACAUCUGUCACCCCAUUGAUCACCAGGGUUGAUUCGGCUGAUCUGGCUGGCUAGGUGGGUGUCCCCUUCCUCCCUUACGGCUCCAUGUAUGUCCCACCCAAAGCUGCGAGCUUGGUGGAAGAGGACGACCAUCCCCGACAGUGGAGGACCGUUCUUCUCAGUCUAGGGUAUACGAGUAGCUGCGCUCCCUGCCAGAGCCUCCAGACAAGCUCUCAAAAUGGUGAUUCGACUUCAACCCAUCACAUCUGCAUCCCGGCCAGCAGAGAAAAGAAGGGUACUCCUCCUUCCUUUGAAGAACACUUGUAUGAAGUCCCCAC
rnacentral:snRNA from 1 species